rnacentral:lncRNA from 1 species
UCUGCCUGUGUGGCCUUCGUUAGCACAUAUCACCAUCGGAUUAUAGCUUAUAUCUCGCUUCUUUCUUUGAUUGAUGAUCUCUUUCUCCUAACUAGAGCGUAAGCCCAGUGACAACAAGGCUUUUGCGUCUGUGUCCAUUGGUAUCUCCCCAGCAUUGUCCACUUUACCUGGCACGCUGUUGUUGGGAAGACUAAAGGAGCUAAUUCCUGAUGCAAAGUCUACUGCAUUGCACCUGGUUCAGGAUACAUACCUAAUGAAGGUGGGAUGCCCUUAUUAGUGGGCAAGUCUCACCUCAAUAUAAAGUGAGCGUUAGUAGCAGAGCCUUCCUCAUUGUGGCUCUCAAGGAGAAAUUGUGUGAACAUAGUGGUAAGAUUUGGGUCUAUUCUCACAAGAAAGGAGGAACUGGGAGCAGGGCCGAUCCCGUAGGUGGGAGCCUCAGAGCCAGGCAGAAAGAGCUGGAAUGGCAGAGGUGGAGAAGUCACUGAGGGGCUGGCUCACCCCUACCCAGCGGCCCUUCGAACAACACCAGCAGCGAUGCCUGCAGACGUGUGCAUCUCCGUUACAGCCAACUAUGGAUGUCUCUGCCUCCUGCCCCCCAAGGAAAAUCAUUUCCAUAUCACCCAAGCAACCAAGGCCCAGAGCCAAGUCAGCUUCCUAGAGGGAUUCCUGCUGUAGCCAAGCAGCCAGGAUUGACAUGCAUGUCCAAUGAGUUGGGCCAUAUUUGCCAAAGGGCGGCCAAGUGCAGGCUCUAAGAGCUGAGGACUGCAGAGGCGGCCCAUAAGUGGCCACCAGCCCCAUUACCAACACCAGCAUUAUCAACAGAGCCUUCAAGGGUCUGCUCGGGCUCUGCAUGGACUGGCCCCCACUCACCUCACCAGCCUCAUGCUGCACGGCGCUCCCCUGUUCUCAGGGCUUCGGUCAUCACCAGUGUCUCCAGUUCCUUGAGGUCCUUCUGCCUGGACACUCUUUCCCAUCUGUGUGAUCUGGUGACCUCAGGCUCUUCUUUAGAUCAUAUGUCCAGUGUUCCCCCUGGCGGAGGCUGUUUCUUACCUCCUGAAGUUGUCUCCUGGCUGCACCACCUUCCCUCCAGACCCAAAUGAGGGUAAUAGCUUCACGUUAAUUGCUGUCUCACUAGUCCUGCAAGAGAAGG